rnacentral:lncRNA from 1 species
AUGUGUAUAUGGAUUUGGGUACAUGAGUGCAGGUGUCCACACAGGCCAGAAGAGGGUGCCAGAGCCCAUGGACCUAGAGUUACAGGCAGUCUGGAAUGGGCACUGAGAACUGAGCUCAGGUCCUCUGCAAAAGCAGUGCCAGCUCUUAACCAUGAAGCCAUCUGUCCAGCCCUCAGCACUACUCUUCAACUGAAUACCAGCUGUUAAUUAUCAUUAUUAAGGAUUAUUAAAAAUAAGGACCCAGAUGUUCCAGGAGCUCUUCAGUUGCUUUGUAGAGUGGUCUGGAGCCUACUCAACAAUCUGGGGAUGAAAGGACUCUCACCUGGAGAAGCUGAGGCCUCAAGGGGGUGAGUGUCUUGUUGUCGGAGGUAAGGAGCACUAGGU